AGCAGCCGCGGUAAUUCCAGCUCCAAUAGCGUAUAUUAAAGUUGUUGCAGUUAAAAAGCUCGUAGUUGAAUUUCGGGGUCAGUAGGUUGGUCAUGCCACUGGUAUGUACUGGUCUCACUGAUUCCUCCUUCCUGAUGAGCCGUAAUGCCAUUAAUUUGGUGUUGCGAGGAAUCUGGACUGUUACUUUGAAAAAAUUAGAGUGUUUAAAGCAGGCUCACGCUUGAAUACAUUAGCAUGGAAUAAUGAAAUAGGACGUUCGAUCCUAUUUUGUUGGUUUUUAGGAUCAACGUAAUGAUUAAUAGGGAUAGUUGGGGGCAUUAGUAUUCAAUUGUCAGAGGUGAAAUUCUUGGAUUUAUUGAAGACUAACUACUGCGAAAGCAUUUGCCAAGGAUGUUUUCAUUAAUCAAGAACGAAAGUUAGGGGAUCGAAGACGAUCAGAUACCGUCGUAGUCUUAACCAUAAACUAUGCCGACUAGGGAUCGGAUGAUGUUAAUUAUUUAAUGACUCAUUC
rnacentral:rRNA from 1 species